UGCCCUAUACCUCAGUCGCUGU
rnacentral:miRNA from 2 species